CUUGUCAUUUCAUGAAACAGACUGGUCUCAGACAGUAAUCACCUUUUCUAUGGAGGGGAAAAGAGCAAGUAUUUGCUGUUAAGAUAUAUAUGAAAACUGAUAUUCCUCUUUGCUUUAAAUUCCCAUGUGAAAAGUAUCUUGGGAAAAAUGAACCCCCUAUUUUAUUUAUCUAUUUUUACAGAAAAUGCAAAUAUUAAUUAUGGACAGUGAUCUUUAGCCUUUUGGACAGAUUUAAAUGCUGAGACAGCAAGAGCAGACUGAAAUCAGGAUUGAGAAAUAGAGCGAGAAAGCAGGGGGAAAUCAGAAAGGGGUCGCAAAGCGAGAUGGGGAAACUCAAAGUUACUGGGGAAUAGAAUUUCCCUAGCACUAGUCACAAUACGUAUGUUUGUUCAAAAGCAAGAGGCGGGGAAGACAUGCAUGCCUGAUGCUGAAGAAAAGCCUGUUUGUGUCUCACACACUGGAGAAAUUGUUCAAGAACAGUCCAUCGAUGUGAAAAUAUGACCCAUGUCAUCUUGCCAGGGUAGUUAAGACACUCAGUAGCUGAGUAAAGCCUGAUUGGAUAAAUUCACAAUCCUGGGGGUGUACAUACUUCCUAGUAUCCAGUUUUUCUAAGAUACAAAAAAAAAUGUCAGUGGAAAUAAGGUUACAGAGUGCCACAUGUGUGGGCGAGACAAGGUCUCCAUAGGGUGGGAACCAGGCAGAACUCAGACAUGGCUCAUUCUUUUAGUUUCUGCUCCAUUUUCUUAGUGGUCAAAAUGAGAAACAAAGGAUAAAUGCCCAGCACUAGCAAAAAAGAGGGAACUGUGAUAUUUAGAGAUGGGGAGGAGGGAAAGGUUACCGACUAGCAUCGAAAUGAAUUUCCCAUUCUCCUUUACUAUUGUCGUCUUUCACAAACUCCCAGUGUGUCUAGAGAUAAAACCCCAACAUUUACUGUAGGGGUGCGUUUUUCCAAGGAGAUCCAAGGAUGUGAACUCUGUCUAUGGAAAGUGAAUGUCCAAAGGUAUGCAGGAAACAUUGACUAUAGCAAAGGCUUGCAAAGGGGCAACAACAUGGUGGGUGCAAGUGAAACAGAAAAAAAUGAGCCCAUCUUGGAGAAACUUUCUUGCCCUCUGUCUGGUGAUUUCUGUAGGCUUUUGCCUGGAUUCAUCCUGAUGGUAAUAAUUUCAGGUGGUCCGCACAUCAACACGGUCCAGGAGCUUGUUAGAAGGACCGGAUUCCCAGCUCCUGAAGAUUUAUCAAGCCAGACACUUGGGAACAGGACCCGAUAGCCCAUGAGUUUUGAAGACUUAAGAAAUUCUUAAGAAUUAUGGAAUUCUGCUCUAGACUAACAUUUGAGAAGCAUAAACCUGGAACUUAUGAAGGGUUUCCUGAUCUUCAACGAUUGGCACCCGAUGGAGACCUCCUCCAGUUUAGAGUCUUUAUCUGCAAAAUGUCUGGCUGUGGAUCUCUGCACCCACUCCUGUAGGCUGCGGGAGGAAGCCUCUCUAAUGACUACUAGACAAAGGCAUCAAUCAUGAGAAUGGCAAAAUAUCAUUAAAUCAUCUCAAUUCAUUCAGUGAUUAUUUUUAUACCAGCCGUGUUUUGUUCUGAUUGGUACAAUUUUAAACUGGACAUCUGUUGACAUCUAUACAUAAAUUAUACAGUGUAUUAGAAAGUAUCAAUUCAUAUUUUAUUUUUGAGAAAAAUUUUGAGUUGUGCUCUGAUGUGCUUUUAGUAAAUUUGCUUUUUAGAUCAAAAUUCUUUCUUGGAGCUCUAAUAAUGGUCAACUCUCUAAAGCUCAGGGUGACUGUAUUCACUAUAGUCAUUAUCUUAUUCUAAAUGUUGCUUUGUGAAUAAAAUGUUUUGGUUGAAAGGGGUCAUUGAAAAUACUAUCACUCUCUCAUCAUUAUUCAUUAUAUCUCAUUACCAGAAAGACUACAACCACAAAAUGACAUAUACACACAACUGAGUCACUGCUGAAUCCAAGAUAUAAAUCGGCCACUAUAGCUGAUGCAUUAUAAUUUCUGGAAGUGUUUGAUGGAUUGACACAUUCACCUCAUAGUUUUCAUUUGAGAAUAAAGAAUAAUCUGAGAAUGAUUAAUUCCUUUUUAAUUAAAAAAAUCUCCAGAAGCCUUUAUUAGUAGUAGUUAGUGAUUAACAAAGACACACAAUUAGUUGUGGUACAGAGAAUAAGAGAUUGGGGAAGGCUCAGCCCUAAAUGAAACAUCUAUUUCAUAUGU
rnacentral:sRNA from 1 species